UACGAGGGGGGCUAGCGUUGUUCGGAAUUACUGGGCGUAAAGCGCACGUAGGCGGACUACUAAGUCAGGGGUGAAAUCCCGGGGCUCAACCCCGGAACUGCCUUUGAUACUGGUAGUCUCGAGUCCGGAAGAGGUGAGUGGAAUUCCGAGUGUAGAGGUGAAAUUCGUAGAUAUUCGGAGGAACACCAGUGGCGAAGGCGGCUCACUGGUCCGGUACUGACGCUGAGGUGCGAAAGCGUGGGGAGCAAACAGG
rnacentral:rRNA from 1 species